GGAUUACGUAGAAUUUGGCGAAGGAUAUGGUUUAGGUGGUUUCGAUUUGAGCUUCUUCCUUCUUGCCGAACCUACUACUUAUGAAAGAAAUUCUGUACUUGUGAAGGAAUGUUUUUCAAUGCUGAAGACGACGAUGAUUUCAGCCCUUCACUUGGGCACGGACAAGGCAGAUCCAAUUUAUCAUCUUUGUUUGGAGCCGAUCAGGCGACUUUCAAUUCGUCAAAUAAUGAGUCUUUAACAUACACCGCGCCAAAGCAGCCUAAAAAACAGUCAGGAAAACAGGAAGAGGCUUCGGCUGUCGUGCAUGCAGUGGCUGCCCAAAUAUUCAAAUUUGUGAAUGGUCAAUAUGCAAGCCAGGGGAAAUUAGGUGUGGCCAUUUUGGCACAACAUACCAAAAAAGAGUAUCGUAUUUUGGUGUAUGCUAGUAAAAAGCAACAAGUUACCACCGCUAAAAUCACCAGCAAUUUUUCAUUUGUGGUUCAAGCAAAUAACUAUGCAUCCUUUUAUGAUGAUGCAAGACAGUCCUGGUCAAUAAGGUUCGAUACACAACAAGAUGUGAUUAAUUUUGCGAAGCAGAUUGGUUUGACAAAGUAUAACUCUGCUCCAGGAAGUCUAGUGAAGCAAGAUUUGCAAGUUGGCGAUGGACAGGCGGUCGAAACAGGUGAUGUGCUUGAAGUCAAGUAUACAGGUUCUUUGUUGGUGAAUAAUACAUUUGGCAAGGAGUUUGAUUCCAAUGUGAAUGCAGACAAGUUGUUCAAACUUCGUCCGGGAAAGGGAAAAGUUAUUAAGGGUUGGGAGGAAGGUGUUCUUGGUAUGAAGAAAUCUGGAAAACGUUUGCUGGUGAUACCACCUGCUUUGGCAUAUGGGGAUAAGGGAAUACCAUCGCGCAUCCCACCAAAAUCAACGCUGCUUUUUGAAGUUGAAAUAUCGCGAGUAAAGUUUGCUAAGGUGAAACAAGACAGCACUUCAUCAGAGAAUUCAUCAUCAACACCAACUUCAGCACACAAUCAGAGUCACGAAGAAAUAAAUUCAGUCACAGGCUCUGUACAUUCUAAAGACGACGAAGAUCUUCAUGAUACAGCUGAAGUACCUGUGUCAGCAGAGAAAGGGUCAGAGAAGGCAAAACUACUCGCUCGCAUGUCAAAGAUGGGUAAAAAUGUUCUCAUUCUUCCUGGUGCUGUUGCUGCAGACGUUGAGGACGAUGAAGAUGAUCUCGCCGACACGUCUGAACCGUCAAAGACCGAUAUUCAAGAGCUGCCAACUAGAAGAAGGUCUCAAGUGCAGCAAGUGCCGGAACAACCUCGUGCCCAGGUUCACGAAAUGGACGACAUUCACAGCCAUUCCCCUGGAAGGCCUCGUGUACCUCCACGUUCCGCCCACGUGAACAAGAUGGCACAUGCAAAUCCUGCACCGCACCACGUGCCUCAAACUCCACCACAACAUCAAUACCCCAGUGAUUUUCAUAACACUCAGCCCAUUCCACAAAAAAUCCCGUCACAACCUCAAACUCUUGCAUUAUACCAGGCUCCUCAACAGGCAGCACCGCCAUAUUACCAGCAACCCUCCCAGCAACCCUAUAUACAACCCCAGCCUCAGUAUAAUCCCGUUUACCAACAACCCCCACCACCUGUUUUCCAACCUGCGCCUCCAGUACCACCCCCUUCAUCAGUUAGCAGUGGCGCCAGUGACGUAAUGAUGCCAAUGUUGAUGAGUGAAAGUCGGCAACAUCAAAACGAAGUAAAGCAGGCGAUAAAUAAAGUUUCAGAGAAAAUUGACUCAAUAGAGAACAAGAUCGAACAUUUAAAGAAAUCUAAGGAUGAAAAUAGCGUUGCGUUAAAGCCUGCAGGGAUUGGUUUAACAUCUGAAAAUAUUGUGGAAGCGUCUGUUUUGAUGAACAGUAUUGUGAAACUCGUUCAGGACAAUGAGAGGUUGAAGAAAGACAAUGCUGAAAAAACGGAGAAAGUCGAAGUUCUCAACGAUAAAAUAUCUCAUCUUUUACAUCAAAGUCAAAAGUAUGUCGAGCAAAGUAAUAUUUUUCUCGAACAACGAAACGAGAGUUUACAACAAUCGACAUCUUAUUCACAGUCGAAGUUGGUUGAGCUGGAGAGAGAAAAGACGACGCUGUCCACAGAAGUCAGUUCUUACAAGCAGAGAAUGGUGACAAUCGAAACAGAACUUGAAUUCUUAAGACAGCAAGAUGUUGAAAAUCGUGAGCAGUUGCAAAAGACAUCUUCGCAGUUGCAAAGACACAAAACAGAACUGAGCACAACAAAGGAGGCUUUAUUAGAGAGGCAAGAGGAAGUUGAAAAAUUGUCGUCUUCAUUAAAAAAUCUCAAGCAAGAAAACAAAAAAGUGGAAAGUAGUCAUUCUGCUCUUCAAGAUGCCAUUGCUGAUUUGAAACAAGAGAAAGCCUCUCUAGAAAAGAAUUUGGUUGACCGGAAAAAGAAACUCGCUGAAACGAAAAAACGCAUGGAUGAGGAUAUUGAAGAACUGAAAGCAGGACACGAAGAAGAAAUAAACAGUCUUAAAGAAAGACAUCGACGAGAAUUGACUACAAGCAAUUCAUCAUCAUCGCAACAGCUAUCACAAUUGGAGACUGAAAUAGAAGAGAAAUGGCAGGAUAAAUCCAAACAAAUGGUGACUCAAUGCGAGAGAAAAUGGCAACGGAAAUAUGAUGAGAUUGUUGAUGAGAAUGAAACUUUGAAGAAGAAGUUGAUUGAAAACGAUGACAAACACUUGUCCAUCAAAACCUCUCAAAAACAGCAUUUGCAAAAGAUUGGCGAACUUCAGGAACAACUUCGUGAUAAAGAUGAAUUACAGAGCAAGUGUGAGAGUUUGAAAGAAGUUUGCCGUCAACAAAAGCAAGAACUUGAAAAACUUCAAGAAAAACUAACGGAACAAUCCGAAGAUAACGACGAGCUUCGCGAGAAGGCCAAGGAAUUGAAACUAACUCAAAACAAAUACGAAGAUUUGAAAGUGAAAAGCGUUGAAAUGAAAGAAACAUACAAAACGAGAAUCAAAGAAUUAGAAAAGGAAAAGGAGAGCGCCAUGAAUGAGAUAAAGAAGCUUUCUUUGGCGGCAAAGGCAACCGAAUCUUUACAAAAGACAGAUGCUCCCGAGCCGUCGAGAGAGAAAAUUGUGACUGAAGUCAAACAAAUUAUGAACAAAGUGUUUUUCCAAAUACGAGAAAAGUUUGUUCCUUCCGAUAACUACAAUGGCUCUACUGUUGUCUCCGUCGUGCUUAAUGUGGUUAAGAGCAUGACGUUGAAAAUGACCAGCGGUGUCGAUGAUGAAAGUGAUGAAGAUGAAGAGGAAAGUGAAAAUGAUGAUGAAGAAAGUGAAAAUGAAGAGGAGCAAAGUGGAGAUGAUGAGGAUGAUGAGGAUGAUGAUGAGGAGAGUGGGGUAACAAAGAGGGACUUGAAGGUAAUGUUGGCGAUAGUGGAAAAAAAGAAAAGACAGAGGUUAAUGUUGCCAGUAAGAAAGAGGAAAUUAUUGUUAAAGACAGCGAGAAGGAUCAGAAAGAUGAUGUUCAAAACGUGGUUGAUGAUUUCGAUGAAAACAAAACGAAGAAUGAUGAUAAAAUUGUUGAAGAAAACGACAAAGCUGGUAAAGCAGACAAAACUUUUGAAGAACUGAAUGAGAAAGAAGUGGUACGUUCACUCGGCAAUGGCAAUGGACAAGAACCUCCAACAAAUAGCUACAAUAGCAUAGAGGAAAAAGCUCUAGUAACUGAGGAUGAAUCACCUACUCAUGGUCAUGGCUCAGAACCUCCUGUAAUUGGCACCGAUAAUAUAAAGGAUAACACUUUAGUAGUUGAGGAUGAAUCAAGUAUUGGUGGUGGUGGUAAUGGUUUAGAACCUCCUGCAAACAACACCGACAGUGUGACGGAUGAUAUUUUAGUAGUUGAGGAAAAGGAA